rnacentral:lncRNA from 1 species
AAGCUACCCAUUGUUUCACAUUUUCUCAACCAGGUGUAUAAAUAAGAGAAAACAGGUGUUGGAAUACUUGGUCCCAUUUUAUACUCUGUCUUCUGAUCCUUGAACCUUGAAACAUGGAGUACCUCUGCCUGAUUAAAGAGGAAGAUAAAAGCUUUAAUUUUAUUUCCACAGAAAAGUGGUUAUACAAUAUUGGAUAAUAUAUACCAUUUAGGUCACUACCCCAACCAAUGCAGGAGUCUAAAC